rnacentral:rRNA from 1 species
CCUACGGGGGGCUGCAGUGGGGAAUAUUGCACAAUGGGCGCAAGCCUGAUGCAGCCAUGCCGCGUGUGUGAAGAAGGCCUUCGGGUUGUAAAGCACUUUCAGCGGGGAGGAAGGCGGUGAGGUUAAUAACCUCAUCGAUUGACGUUACCCGCAGAAGAAGCACCGGCUAACUCCGUGCCAGCAGCCGCGGUAAUACGGAGGGUGCAAGCGUUAAUCGGAAUUACUGGGCGUAAAGCGCACGCAGGCGGUCUGUCAAGUCGGAUGUGAAAUCCCCGGGCUCAACCUGGGAACUGCAUUCGAAACUGGCAGGCUAGAGUCUUGUAGAGGGGGGUAGAAUUCCAGGUGUAGCGGUGAAAUGCGUAGAGAUCCGGAGGAAUACCGGUGGCGAAGGCGGCCCCCUGGACAAAGACUGACGCUCAGGUGCGAAAGCGUGGGGAGCAAACAGGAUUAGAUACCCGUGUAGUC